rnacentral:tmRNA from 1 species
GGGGAUGUUUUGGCUUCGACGGGGGUAAGUGAGGUUUGGUAAGCGGGCCGAGGGAAGCAUGGUGCCUCGAUAAUAAAGUAUGCAUUAAAGAUAAACGCAGAAGACAAUUUUGCAUUAGCAGCUUAAUAUAGCUGUUCAUCAGCCCUAGAUUGCCCACGGUCUAGGAUCCUGGUGUCAUUAUAAGUGGGGAACCGAGCUUAGCAAAGCUUUGAGCUAGGAACGGAACUUAUGAAGCUAGCGAUCUAGUUACCCGUCUGUAGGUGUUCUAGAAAGCGAAAUUUAAUAUGCAGACUACGCUCGUAGAAAGCUAGACGGAACUACUUUCGGACACGGGUUCGACACCCGUCAUCUCCACCA